rnacentral:rRNA from 1 species
CGCUGGCGGCGUGGUUAAGACAUGCAAGUCGAACGGUUUUUAUUGAAGGGCAACCGGAUAUAAAAGCAGUGGCGAACGGGUGCGUAACACGUGAACAAUCUACUUUCAAAUGGGGAAUAGCUCGCCGAAAGGCGAAUUAAUACCGCAUGAGGUUGCUGCUCGCAUGAGCGGCACACCAAAGUCAGGGACCGCAAGGCCUGACGUUAGAAAAGGAGUUCGCGGCCUAUCAGCUAGUUGGCGAGGUAACGGCUCACCAAGGCUAAGACGGGUAGCUGGUCUGAGAGGAUGAUCAGCCACACUGGAACUGAGUCACGGUCCAGACACCUACGGGUGGCAGCAGUUUCGAAUCAUUCACAAUGGGCGAAAGCCUGAUGGUGCGACGCCGCGUGAGGGAUGAAGGCCUUCGGGUUGUAAACCUCUGUCACCGGGGAAGAAACGCUUCAAGUUAACAGCUUGAAGCCUGACUUAACCCGGAGAGGAAGCAGUGGCUAACUCUGUGCCAGCAGCCGCGGUAAUACAGAGACUGCAAGCGUUAUUCGGAUUCACUGGGCGUAAAGGGUGCGCAGGCGGCCAUGUGUGUGAGGCGUGAAAGCCCGGGGCUUAACCCCGGAAUUGCACCUCAAACUAUAUGGCUAGAGCAUUGGAGAGGGUAGCAGAAUUCACGGUGUAGCAGUGAAAUGCGUAGAUAUCGUGAGGAAUACCAGAGGCGAAGGCGGCUAC